rnacentral:hammerhead_ribozyme from 1 species
ACCCAGCUGACGAGUCCAAAAUAGGACGAAGCGCGCAUCCUGGAU